GACUUCUCAAUAGAUAACUUCAAGGAGCCCAGCGCCAGGGAGUGAGGCCCUCAACAAACCUUUUGGUGGCAGGGCAGUGUGAGUUUGCCCACAUCCUGCAUUCAUGAUAAACAGUUUGCUGUUUGAUCCUAUAGCCUCCAGCGAAAUGCUGAGUUGGUCACUUCCCAGGGGCCUUCAGCUCCCUGCACCUCACAUUCUGUAUUUGUCCUGAUUAGCCAGCAACUUAGAACUUUUUAAAAGAGGCAAAGGCAGAGGAGAACAAAGGAGGAAGUAACUUGUGGAAUGCUGAGAAAGGUAAAAACACCUCCAAAUAAGGAAGAGGAACAGACUAUGACUUAAUACUUGCUUGGACCAGUGUAAGCAUGCCAGGGCAAAUAUUUAGGCUAAAUUGUGGGAGCUAAGAACACAAAGUACAUUGAUUUCUUUAUUAUAGCUAGCAGAUAUCUAAGAAUGUUAGCACAGGUCUUUGAAUAAAUUUUGUUUCUGAGAGAAGUUACUAUUUAUUCCUAAUUAGACGGGGAGGAAAGUCUCUUUGAAGAGGAACCUCUAUUUUAUUUUUACACUCAGAAGCCCGGGCAGCUCUGCCGGGAGUGCAGGGAGGCAGCUCUCCUGGGGGUGCAGAACACAUUGGAUACACCGGUUAUUUUACCAAGGCUUUGGCUGGAAUGUUACAUUUUUGAAUGUGACCAAACUGCUUUGAGGAAUUGAGGCUGACUUUAUAAAGCCAAUAGACAUGGGAAAGACUGGCCUCAUGCCUUGCCCACACGGUUCUCUUACAAGGUUCCUCAGCUUGCGAUCUAAACAGAAAAAAAUAUAAUUUAAAAUUUUCUAACCUUAAGCUUAAAUAUAUUGUGGAGAAAGAUGCCAAAUUAUCCACUACAUAUCACUGACAAGUAAUACUUACGCAGAUCACUUCCUCCCCAAGGCUUCAGCCUGCCAAUGGAAAGAGGUAAGUGUUGAACUUACUAACCAAGUUCUCUUCUAGUUGCAAACUCCAGAAUAUGAUGAUUUAUGCAUGCAAAGCACUUACACUUCUACUUAUUGCCCGAACCUUUCUCUGAAAAGAAAAAGAAAUUGACUGGCAUCAAACCAAAAAGUCUACUGACUCAAUGUUUCAGCUGAGCCUAGUGACUCCUGAGCACUGAGCCAUCACUUCAACAACAUCUCCAACUAUCAAAGAGGACAACUAUAAACAGAAGUCCCACCAAAACGCACAGGAGCAGAAUAUGCACUUUUUUACCUGUUGACUCUGUCUCUUUAAUUUUCAUACUACUUUAUCAGAAGAUUCACCUGUAGUCAAAAGCCACCUAUUCACAAACACAACUGACUGAUUCAGAGCAUUGAUUCCAUAAUGUUAUAUGGCAUAGAAUUAUAUGCCCUGGAGAAUUCCUCCCUGAAGAACGUGAAAUCACUUCAUAGAGACCUUCCUGUAUUUUUGUGUGAUAACUAACGAGGCUUAAACUUGGCCCCUCGGGUGAGAAAGCUCAAGAGCACAAACAUGGAGCAGCACUCCUUCUUAUGUCUAUGGGGAAUGAGCACCUCUUCCCACAAGAGACUCAAUUCCACCGUGACACCUCCCAGUAGGAGGUUUUGGUAUCAGGAUGACACCAAAAGCAAUGGCAACAAAAGCCAAAAUUGACAAAUGGAAUCUAAUUAAACUAAAGAGCUUCUGCACAGCAAAAGAAACUAUCAUCAGAGUGAACAGGCAACCUACAGAAUGGGAGAAAAUUCCUGCAAUCUAUCCAUCUGACAACGGGCUAAUAUCCAGAAUCUACAAGGAACUUAAACAAAUUUACAAGAAAAAAGCAAACAACCCCAUCAAAAAAUAGGUGAAGAAUAUGAACAGACACUUCUCAAAAGAAGACAUACAUGCAGCCAACAAACAUAUGAAAAAAAGCUUAUCAUCACUGGUCAUUAGAGAAAUGCAAAUCAAAACCACAAUGAGAUACCAUCUCAUGCCAGUUAGAAUGCAGAUCAUUAAAAAGUCAGGAAACAACAGGUGCUGGAGAAAUAGGAACGCUUUUACACUGUUGGUGGGAGUGUAAAUUAGUUCUACCAUUGUGGAAGACAGUGUGGCGAGGAUCUAGAAUCAAAAAUGCCUUUUGACCCAGCAAUCCCAUUACUGUGUAUAUACCCAAAGGAUUAUAAAUUAUUCUACUAUAAAGACAUAUGCACACAUAUGUUUAUUGCAGCACUAUUCACAAUAGCAAAGUCUUGAAACCCAAAUGCCCAUCAAUGAUAGACUGGAUUAAGCAAAUGUGGCACAUAUACACCACGGAAUACUAUGCAGCCAUGGAAAAGGAUGAGUUCAUGUCCUUUGUAGGGACAUGGAUGAAGCUGGAAACCAUCAUUCUCAGCAAACUAUCUCAGGGACAAAAAUACAAACACCACAUGUUCUCACUUAUAGGUGGGAAUUGAACAAUGAGAACACUUGGACACAGGAAGGGGAACAUCACACACUGGGGCCUGUUGAGGGGUGGUAGGUGGGGGGAGGGAUAGCAUUAGGAGAUAUACCUAAUGUAAAUGACGAGUUAAUGGGUGCAGCACACCAACAUGGCACAUGUAUACAUAUGUAACAAACCUGCACAUUGUGCACAUGUACCCUAGAACUUAAAGUAUAAUAAUUAAAAAAAAGAAAUUUGAUCCCCAAUGUUGAAGGUGGGGCCUAGUGGGAGAUGUUUGGGUCAUGGUGGUGGAUCUCUUAUUAAUAGACUGAUUUCCUGGGGUGAUGAGGGGAGUGAGUGAGUUCUUAGUUUGUUAGUUCUGCUAGAGAUGGUUGCAAAAAAUAGCUUGACACCUUCCCUCUUUCUCUUUUUUUCACUUCCUCUCCCACUGUGUGAUCUCUAUACUCUGCCUCUCCUUCCCCUUCAGCCAUAAGUGGAAGCAGCUUGAGGUCCUCAUCAGAUGUAGAUGCUGGCACCAUGCUUCUUGUACAGACUGAAGAGCCAUGAACUAAAUAAAUCUCCCUUCUUUGUAAAUUACCCAGUCUCGGGUAUUUCUUUGCAGCAAUGCUAACAGACUAAAACAUUACUACAAUUGCAUUGAUCUUCAGAUAGAUAACAAAAGAUGAGUCAAUUGACAAACCAUUGAAAAUUAAAUGUGAGAACCAGAGUGUCAGUCACUCACAAAGAGGUCCUCAUCUCUUGCAACAAGCAGGCAGAAAAAAUGGAGAUCAUUUUCAGGGUUCAGUAGUCACAGUGGCUGAACUUCAAUGAUACCUGCAUGCUUAAUCAAGGUAGCUAUGUUAAGCCAAAUCUGGAGCCAGAGUUGGAAAAAAUCUAAGGCUUUGACACAUGGGAUAAGAAUUCUAGGUGGAUGCCUCCAAAGAUCUGGACUUCAAAGAUAUCACUAAACUUUCUAACACUGCAGAAGUGACCAACCCCUCCCUAUUCAGGGCAGGAAGACUAUCGAAGAGGCGCACGAUCAGAAACUGCCUUCCCCUCUUUUCCUCAACACCAGGCCUAUAAAUAUGGUUAAGUCACAGCACAGCUCAGCCAGGGAAAUAAGGAAAGAAUGGAACAAUACCACAAAAGAACUGCAAGAUCUAACAGACCUUCACCAACAAGGGGAGAACCAUGGUACUUGUCCUGAGGGUGCUGGACCAGGAGGCUGGUAGGCAAGGCUGGAUAAGUGAAAGUUUAUUGACCUGAUCUGGAAAGAAAAGAAAGGGAGUUUGGCAGCAGGGAGGUCUAGGGUAGAGGCAUAUUGAUAGGCAUAUGGAGUGGGCAUAAAGUGUGAAGGUCUUUGUAUCUUGUGUUAACACCUGGUCAGUAGGUAAAAUGACUCACCCAGUUGACAAAUUAGCCUACUUCUUCUGUCAGCAACCACCCCAGUGCUGGCAUGAUGCCCACAAGAACAAAGUGGCCUGGCAGCAGAGAUAAAGGCUAUGCAAAAGCCCAAGCAACGUGGAACUCAUUUACCAAGACCAACCAGAUUUACUAGUUAUAAUGUGUAACUCCUCAAAAAAAUUACAAAUCAGUGCAUAGACCAUAUACAAAUAUACCCAUACACAUUUAGAAUUAAUGUGAUAUGAUUUCAUAUUGUAAUUCCUUAAACACAAAUUCAGUCAACUCUAUAUGAAUUGAAAUAAUACCAGUAAACAAUUCAGAUAUUUAUGUCAAAUUUCAUAUGUAAUAGAGACCACGUAAACAAUCAGUAGGGAUUUGUUUAACAAUUAUAAACCUAAAACCAGUUUAA
rnacentral:lncRNA from 1 species